GUAGGUGGCAAGCGUUGUCCGGAAUUAUUGGGCGUAAAGCGCGCGCAGGCGGUCCUCUAAGUCUGAUGUGAAAGCCCACGGCUCAACCGUGGAGGGUCAUUGGAAACUGGGGGACUUGAGUACAGAAGAGGAAAGCGGAAUUCCAAGUGUAGCGGUGAAAUGCGUAGAGAUUUGGAGGAACACCAGUGGCGAAGGCGGCUUUCUGGUCUGUAACUGACGCUGAGGCGCGAAAGCGUGGGGAGCAAACAGGGAUUAGAUACCCUGGUAGUCCACGCCGUAAACGAUGAGUGCUAGUGUUAGGGGGUUUCCGCCCCCUUAGUGCUGCAGCUAACGCAUUAAGCACUCCGCCUGGGGAUACGGCCGCAAGGCUG
rnacentral:rRNA from 1 species